rnacentral:rRNA from 1 species
CAGCAGCCACGGUAAUACGAAGGGUGCAAGCGUUAAUCGGAAUUACUGGGCGUAAAGCGUGCGUAGGCGGUGAGUUAAGUCUGCUGUGAAAUCCCCGGGCUCAACCUGGGAAUGGCAGUGGAUACUGGCUCGCUAGAGUGUGUCAGAGGAUGGUGGAAUUCCCGGUGUAGCGGUGAAAUGCGUAGAGAUCGGGAGGAACAUCAGUGGCGAAGGCGGCCAUCUGGGACAACACUGACGCUGAGGCACGAAAGCGUGGGGAGCAAACAGGAUUAGAUACCCGGGUAGUCCCUGUCUCUUAUAA